rnacentral:lncRNA from 1 species
UAUAUAUAUAGAGUAGGGCUGCUGUGCUCUCAGGAGCACGGAGGCCUCCGUGCUCCUGAGCCAUUUUCGAUGAUGGAGUUUUCGAAUUGACGAUCGGCUCCGUUAAACUUGAUCUAGCAUAUUUAAAGUUUCUAGAAAAUAAUUUUUGCGAUUUUUCGAUAUCAUUUACCUAGUGAUCGAAAGGAUUCAAAAUCCAUAAUUUUUAAUGGUUGAUAUCUGCCGUUUUCAAGUUUAACGGUGUAGAAGUAUUCAAAUCAGAUGAAAUUUUGAUAGAAAAUUCUUUAUACUAUCUACAACAAGAUCUAUAUUUCUGAUCGAAAAUUUUAGUGCUAUAUCACCACUUUUUAUAGGAUUUUUAUUUUCAGCCGUUAAAAAUUAUUGAUUUUGAAUCCUUUCGAUUGCUAGGUAAAUGAUAUCGAAAAAUCGCAAAAAUUAUUUUCUAGAAACUUUAAAUACGCUAGAUCAAGUUUAACGGAGCCGAUCGUCGAUUCGAAAACUCCAUCAUCGAAAAUGGCUCAGGAGCACGGAGGCCUCCGUGCUCCUGAGAGCACAGCAGCCCUGCUCUCUCUAUAUAUAUAUAUAUAUAUAUAUAUAUAUAUAUAUGAACUAGACUGGAAUACUAUCAAUAGCACUAAGUUAUUAGUGCUAUUAGUUUUUUAGUCCUUGGAUUGAGAAAUGUGCGGUUAUGAUGAUGUCGGCGCCCUAGGGUUGAAUGGAUGAUUGGUUGAAUAGUAUAAUCUAACGGAUAAAAAUAAUCAAAGGGGUUAAUCUAAUGGCAGAAAAUUUGAUAGCACCAAAUGCUUGGUGCUAUCGAUAGCAUAGCAGCAGGACUUAUAUAUAUACUAGGGCUACUAUACUCUUAUAAGUAUAAACCCCUUUAUAAUUUAAUUUAACUGGUGAAAAUGAUCUAUAGUUCUACACUCA